GUUCCAAUGGGGUCGCUGUGUCCAUUUCUUUUACUGUCUAUGCAGAGAACGAGCGAGGUUGUGUCGUGACGAGCAACAGGUCGUGUAUUGGAAAGAUUUGGUGUUGAUGGAGGAGGCAACAUCUUCAAGACGAAACCUUAGACCUGAUGCAACAUCAUCCAAUGUCACAAUCACCCUUUAGGAGGCACUUGAAGACCAGUGCCCAAUAUGCAUAGGAACAUUUCCAGUGUCAGAAGUAGACCUGCCAUGCCAGCUUUUGUGGAGACAAGUAAUGGUAAUAGUGACUCACAUUGAAGCUUAAAAACACCUUUAAAAAAAAAAAAAACCUUAAAA
ensembl:lncRNA